UACAUGGGGUGCAAACGUUGCUCGGAAUUAUUGGGCGUAAAGAGCUCGUAGGCGGCUUGUCACGUCGGAUGUGAAAGCCCGGGGCUUAACCCCGGGUCUGCAUUCGAUACGGGCUAGCUAGAGUGUGGUAGGGGAGAUCGGAAUUCCUGGUGUAGCGGUGAAAUGCGCAGAUAUCAGGAGGAACACCGGUGGCGAAGGCGGAUCUCUGGGCCAUUACUGACGCUGAGGAGCGAAAGCGUGAGGAGCGAACAGG
rnacentral:rRNA from 1 species